GUUCUGGUCGUAACUGAAAUAUUUAAGCGCAUACUGGUCGUUUGAAGAAAAAAACUAAUCAAAAAUGAAUCAUCGAUUACAAAUGUUGAUCGCGAGUAAAGAUGUUUUGCCAUGGAUGGUGGUUACGCCGGCAGUGUGCUCCUUAUUGUCAACUACUGGAUGAGAUCCCGUUCUGCUGUCGAAACAUAGAAACCUAUUAUCGUCGCCUCCUGAAAUUUACGAAACAUUAAUUUGCCGAAAUUCUGUUGACUAUUCUUACUUGAAAUUCUAAAAGAAAAAUUAAUUAAAAAUGAUGAAUUAAGAAAAAAA